rnacentral:rRNA from 1 species
AAAGUAUACAGAUCUAAGACUCCCGAUAAUAAAAGAUCUAGGAAAUAAUAUUUGGUAUUGCAUACUUGAAUAUACUGUUGCAUUAGUAUAUAAAAAUAUAUUUCUAGGGGUGAAAGACCUUCACUUUUAUAGAUAUCUGGAUAAGCAUUAAAUAAAUUUAGUUUAUUAUAUAGUUACAAUGUGAUAAGAUAGUGUAAUAAGAAUUUAUAAUAUUUAAUACUACGGCCAUUAAUUAUUACUUAGCGGCACUAUUUUAAUGGUAAUACAUCUAUAUUUCAAAAUUCUAAAUUAAUGUUUAAUUUUACUAAACUUUAUAAAAGUGGAUAAAGAAUGUAUAAAUUAGUAAAUAUAGUAAGUUUAUUGAAGGAAUUCGGCAAGCAUGCUAUACGACUGUUUAACAAAAACAUAGCCAGUAGACAUUUAAUUAUUGGUGUGACCUGCCCAGUGAUUUAUUUAACGGCCGCAGUACCCUGACUGUGCAAAGGUAGCAUAAUAAUUUGGCUUUUAAUUGAAGUCUGGCAUGAAAGGAAAAACGUAUAGCAACUGUCUUCAAACUCAAGUUUAAUUAAGUUACUCUAUAAGGUGAAAAUUCCUUAAUAAUUAAUAAUAGACGAGAAGACCCUUAGAAUUUUAAGAAAAGCCAGGAUUAAAGUGGGGUGAUUUUUGUUGGGGCAACAUUUUUUCAUAAAAUAAAAAAAACUAUUAAUAUACAACGAAUAGGUUUAAUUAAGUGUAAAUUACCUAAGGGAUAACAGCAUAAUUUUACGUAAAGAUUGUGACCUCGAUGUUGGACUAGGAACUAUUAAGGCUAAUCGUUUUAAUAAAAUAGGUUCUGUUCGAACUUUAUUUCCUA